GAUGAACGCUGGCGGCGUGCCUAAUACAUGCAAGUCGAGCGAAUGGAUUAAGAGCUUGCUCUUAUGAAGUUAGCGGCGGACGGGUGAGUAACACGUGGGUAACCUGCCCAUAAGACUGGGAUAACUCCGGGAAACCGGGGCUAAUACCGGAUAACAUUUUGAACCGCAUGGUUCGAAAUUGAAAAGCGGCUUCGGCUGUCACUUAUGGAUGGACCCGCGUCGCAUUAGCUAGUUGGUGAGGUAACGGCUCACCAAGGCAACGAUGCGUAGCCGACCUGAGAGGGUGAUCGGCCACACUGGGACUGAGACACGGCCCAGACUCCUACGGGAGGCAGCAGUAGGGAAUCUUCCGCAAUGGACGAAAGUCUGACGGAGCAACGCCGCGUGAGUGAUGAAGGCUUUCGGGUCGUAAAACUCUGUUGUUAGGGAAGAACAAGUGCUAGUUGAAUAAGCUGGCACCUUGACGGUACCUAACCGGAAAGCCACGGCUAACUACGUGCCAGCAGCCGCGGUAA
rnacentral:rRNA from 1 species